rnacentral:rRNA from 1 species
GACGAACGCUGGCGGCGUGCUUAACACAUGCAAGUCGAACGGAAAGGCCCUGCUUUUGUGGGGUGCUCGAGUGGCGAACGGGUGAGUAACACGUGAGUAACCUGCCCUUGACUUUGGGAUAACUUCAGGAAACUGGGGCUAAUACCGGAUAGGAGCUCCCGCUGCAUGGUGGGGGUUGGAAAGUUUCGGCGGUUGGGGAUGGACUCGCGGCUUAUGAGCUUGUUGGUGGGGUAGUGGCUUACCAAGGCUUUGACGGGUAGCCGGCCUGAGAGGGUGACCGGCCACAUUGGGACUGAGAUACGGCCCAGACUCCUACGGGAGGCAGGAGUGGGGAAUAUUGCACAAUGGGCGGAAGCCUGAUGCAGCAACGCCGCGUGCGGGAUGACGGCCUUCGGGUUGUAAACCGCUUUCGCCUGUGACGAAGCGUGAGUGACGGUAAUGGGUGAAGAAGCACCGGCUAACUACGUG